rnacentral:rRNA from 1 species
CUGGCGGCGUGCCUAACACAUGCAAGUCAACUUGACUGAAGGAGCAAUCUGACAGUAGAGUGGCGCAAGGGUGCGUAACGCGUAAGUAACUUGCCCCAAGGUAAGGAAUAACGUCGAGAAAUCGGCGCUAAUACCUCAUAAUGCAGCGGAUCCGCAUGGAUAUGUUGUUAAAGGUUUACCGCCUUGGGAUAGGCUUGCGUCUGAUUAGCUAGUUGGUGUGGUAACGGCACACCAAGGCUACGAUCAGUAACUGGUCUGAGAGGAUGAUCAGUCACACUGGAACUGAGACACGGUCCAGACUCCUACGGGAGGCAGCAGUGAGGAAUAUUGGGCAAUGCUCGAAAGAGUGACCCAGCAACGCCGCGUGGAGGAUGGAGGUAUUCUAUAUCGUAAACUCCUGUGAGAGCAGACGAAAGACAGAUUAUUAAUCUGGAUGACUGUAUGCUCAGAGGAAGCCCCGGCUAACUACGUG